ACCCAGGUAGCUCAGCUGGUAGAGCAUCAGGCCCUUAAUCUGAAGGUCCAGGGUUCAAGCCUCUGUCUGGGUG